rnacentral:lncRNA from 1 species
GCCUCUCACAUACCCAAUCUCAGAUCCCCAGCACCCACCUGGGGACCCCAUGCACAUCCCCCAGAUGCCAACACACCCUCCCACAGAUCUCCUGCACCCACCCACAGAUCCCCCAUACCCCCUGAUGAACCCAAAACAAGCAGGGAUGCUCCUCACCCCCUUCCCACACCCCUCACACCUACCCAGAGACCCUUCCCAUGCCCCCCAUGGCCCAAAAACAUGCCUAUGGAUGCCACAAAACCCCACCACAAUGUCCCCCCAGGCCCCCCAGUACCCUCCUGGCAGGUUUUUCCCCCAAAGCCCAGUGGGCAGCGGCAGCUGAACCCCCCCCAUUCAUGCACGCAGGUGCCACCGUUGUGGCAUGUGUUGGUGUCACACAGGGUCUUCUUGGGAGGACAACCUGGCAGGGUGCCGUUGUUGGCAAUGAAGGCUGCCAUGUCCACGGGGCGCUGGUCAAUGUGGAGGUGCCGCAUGCACCCCACAAAGUGCCGGCUGCGGAUUGGGAAACUCUCGGGCAGUGUUGGGACCCCCCCCAGCAGCAGUGGCCCCGUCAGGUCCAGCGACCUGUAGAGCACACCAUCACCUCAGGGACUCAAGAAACCAUCGAGGGACCCCACAACCCACGGGGACCCUGUUGGAACAUCAAGGGACACCCAGCCACCCCUCAUCCCAUGGGAGUCACAAGGGGACCCCAAAGAACACUCACUCACCCCAAAACCUAUGGGAACCUGAGGGACCACCCAAAGACUCCCAAGGGAAUCCCCACUUCCCCCCAGUGCCAUGGGGACCCCAAGACAAUCCCCAAACCCAUGGGGACCUCCAGUGACUCCCCCAUCCAUAGGGAUCUGUAACCCCCAAGGGGCCUUUCACCAGUGAAGACUUCAAAGGUACCACACCCUUAGGGACCGUUCACCUACAAGGGACCCCUCUAUGGGUACCCCAAGGGACCCCACCCAUGGGAUCCCCAUGCCCCUCUCACUUCUUGCUGCCAGUCUGGGUGCCCUGGGCAGCACAGGAGUAGUUGCCGAGGCGGGGCCCGAAGCGCAGGGCCAUGGCUGUGUCGCAGUCGUCCACAGUCACAACAGCCACCUUCUGCUCUGAGGGGCCCUGUGGGACCCCCGAGCGCCCCACAACCGGCUGGGGGGCCCCAUAUUAGGCAGGGGGGCCCAGGACCCCCAUCCUGCAGCCUCUGUCCUGCUCCUCAUCCUCCCACUGCCCUCUGACCCCUCAACCCUUAC